GACGUAGGGGGCAAGCGUUAUUCGGAAUCAUUGGGCGUAAAGCGCUCGUAGGCGGAUCGGACAGUCGGUGAAGAAAGACCCGGGCUCAACUCGGGGAACGGCACCGAUACUAUCGAUCUUGAGGCAAUCAGAGGGUGAUGGAAUUCCCGGUGUAGCAGUGAAAUGCGUAGAGAUCGGGAGGAACACCAGUGGCGAAGGCGGCUACCUGGACCAGCAUUGACACUCAAGCACGAAAGCGUGGGGAGCAAACAGG
rnacentral:rRNA from 1 species